rnacentral:miRNA from 1 species
GUUAAGGGAUUCCCUGCUCUGCUGCGUUCGUCUAUGUUUGGGGAAAUGCCUCUGAACAUAGACGAACGCAACAGAGAAGGAAAUCUCUCUAAU